CCUGCCCUUUAGACGGGGACAACAUUCCGAAAGGAGUGCUAAUACCGGAUGUGGCCGCAUGGCGAAAGAUGGCCUUCAAGAAGCUAUCGCUAAAGGAUGGGCCUGCGUCUGAUUAGCUAGUUGGUAGUGUAACGGACUACCAAGGCGAUGAUCAGUAGCCGGUCUGAGAGGAUGAACGGCCACAUUGGGACUGAGACACGGUCCAAACUCAUACGGGAGGCAGCAGUGGGGAAUCUUCCGCAAUGGACGAAAGUCUGACGGAGCAACGCCGCGUGAGUGAUGAAGGAUUUCGGUCUGUAAAGCUCUGUUGUUUAUGACGAAGUGCAGUGUGUGAACAAUGCAUUGCAAUGACGGUAGUAAACGAGGAAGCCACGGCUAACUACGUGCCAGCAGCCGCGGUAAUACGUAGGUGGCGAGCGUUGUCCGGAAUUAUUGGGCGUAAAGAGCAUGUAGGCGGCUUAAUAAGUCGAGCGUGAAAAUGCGGGGCUCAACCCCGUAUGGCGCUGGAAACUGUUAGGCUUGAGUGCAGGAGAGGAAAGGGGAAUUCCCAGUGUAGCGGUGAAAUGCGUAGAUAUUGGGAGGA
rnacentral:rRNA from 1 species